rnacentral:rRNA from 1 species
GACGAACGCUGGCGGCGUGCUUAACACAUGCAAGUCGAACGAAGUGGCGAACGGGUGAGUAACGCGUAAUCAACCUGCCCUUCAGAGGGGGACAACAGUUGGAAACGACUGCUAAUACCGCAUACUGAAGGAGGGGUUUGCGUCUGAUUAGCUAGUUGGAGGGGUAACGGCACACCAAGGCGAUGAUCAGUCGCCGGGCUGGUGGGAUGAACGGCCAAAUUGGGACUGAGGAACGGCCCAGACGCCUACGGGAGGCAGCAGUGGGGAAUCUUCCGCAAUGGACGAAAGUCUGACGGAGCAACGCCGCGUGAGUGAUGACGGCUUUCGGGUGGGAAAGCUCUGUUAAUCGGGACGCGGUACCGGAAUAGAAAGCCACGGCUAACGACGUGCCAGCAGCCGCGGUAAUAC